AGCGUCAUCGAUUAUGGGCACAUAUUGGUAACGGUGCGAGGUUGCGUCCCCUCACGAGAAAUCGAUGGAUACUGCCAAUUAGAGGAAUAUUUUCAGGGAUCCAGCAUUGCGUGUUCUUUCUGCGAAGGCUACGCUUAAAUAUUAAGUUGCAACAUACGAUACGAUCGAUUCCACAAACACGAAAAAUGUUUCAGAUUCUAGCGUAGUUAAAUACGUUAGUAGUCUGUAAUCAAUGUUAAUAUUUUUAUGAUUAAUAUUUUAAAAUAAAUGUAAAUAAUAAUUC